CUCUCUCUCCUUCCCUACUUUUUGUCUUGCGCGCGCUCUCCGCUGGCGCUCAGAACCACGGCUUUUGGACCGCGGCUAUACCCACAGACACACCCAUACAGAGAAAAACUCAUACAGACACACGGAUACACGGACUCGCACAGACCCCACCCUCCUCUUCACUGGGGUACAUAGGCGCACCUGCAGCAACGUGCUCAACUGAGUACUAGCUUUCAACGGAGGUGCACACAUAGAUCUCUGCGUGUUGGCGGUGCCACUGCUGUAGUGUCAGAUCUACCGUAGACUUAGCCCUCUUCUUGUUUGCUUCGUUCCUCUGUUCGACUCCUCUUUUUCUGCCAACUCAUCACGUUGCCCUUCUCCGGCUUUUUUGCUCGUUUCGCCGCUGCAGCACGGCCGCAGCGUCUUACCGGGGGCUUUUGUGACCGGCGUGGGCGAAAGGAGUCUUAGGCUCUUGAUCCCUCUCGUUUUUCGUAUUUCUCGCGCAUUCAGCAUGUCAAUUCCACUGGAGAACUGGGGUCAGCUGAAGCUGUCGGUGGCCAAGCCGGAGCUGAAGUCCGAGGACGGCGGGGACGCGAAGAAAGGCGAGUGUGUGCUGGAGCUGCUGGCGCUGCCGAAAGGAAGGGCAAAGGACAACCCCAACUACGUGCCACAUCCAAUAUUGAGCAUUCCUAUCUCAGCGAUCGCGAGUGCCUCGGGCACCACGAAGAAUGACGUGAGUCUCGCCAUGCGGCCAACGACGACGGCCGACGCGGAGGACUUGGAGCUGAGGUCGAUUCGCUUCGCCGUGCCGAACGUCUGCGUCGGUUAUGAAGAGACGGAGAUGGCUGGCAAGGUUAUUCUGCAGGGCAUUCAGAGCAGCAUGAUGCAGUACCAGGAACAGUUUCUCCAGCGGCACGGCAGUGGCGGCCAGGGCGGCAAACUGCUUGCUCUCGCCGCGAUGGGCAGUGGCCACGCCACGCAUACGGAUGAGGUGGUGGUGGCCACUUUUGAUGACGUGCUCCUCUCGUACCCGUCUGGCAAGUACAAGAUUGUCAUCUCGAACUACAACGUGGUGCUGGAGGACAAGAAGAAGGGCACCUCGAGCGGCCUCCUUAGCUUUUCCCUCUCUGACAUUCAGAACUUGUUCCUGUGCGAUGUCCCCGUGUACUUCUCCCCCACAGAGGAGGUGGACGCGAACAGCUUGCCGCAGUACGUUGUGCUGAUAUUGAAGAACCCGCUGAAGAUUCGCACGACAACGUACAACCACGUUGUCAUUUCCUGCCCGGCUGGCUUGACCCUGGAUGAGGAGCACCCGUGGCGUUGCGAGCUCAAGACCCAAGACGAGAUCAACAAGACGCUGCAGCUUCCUCCGACGAAGGAGGGCGAGGUGCCGCCGCUGGUGCCAACGAUGAGUGGCCGUGUGAGCGACAUUCUCACGCGCACUUUCAAAGCGAUCGCCAAGGUGCCCGCGUACGGCGGCAUCAACAAGGAGUACAAAUCGGUGCUCACCAGCCACUCACAGUCUUCGAUGCGGUGCCUCUUUCACGGCGCGGAGGGACUGCUGUACAUCGUCAACAGCGGAUUUCUCUACCUGCACCGCCCUGCCACCCGUAUCCUCUUUAACGAGGUCGCACGUGUGGAGCUGGACGAGUCGGAAAGUGGCCAGGCCACCUUUCAGCUCGCCGUCUUCACAACCGGAGCUAAGGGCGACGACAAGUAUGUCUUUUCGGGUAUUGCGAAGGAGGAGAAGGACGGGCUCCUCAGCUAUCUUGCCACCAAGGUAAAAGUGGUGCACACUGGCGGCGACGCCAUGGAGAGCGAUGACGACGACGAGAAGGACGCCGCAUCAGACGAAGAAGACGAGAGCGAUGACUCAGACUACGACGACUCGGACGCCGAUGACGAUGACAGCAGCGGCGAUGACGGCGACCAUGACAGCUCUCGCAAGCGCAAGCGCGAGGAUAAGAAGCCCAAAAAGGAUAAGAAGCACAAGAGAGAUAAGAGGCACAAAAGAGAUAAGAAGCACAAGAGAGAUAAGAAGCACAAAAGAGAUAAGAAGCACAAGAAGGAUAAGCAUGCGAAGAGCGACGCUUGACAUGUUUCGGUGAUCUGUCGAGGUGCCACACGCGGGGAGGGGGAGGGGUAGCGGCUGUGUUGUGCGCCGAUACCACCACCGUUUCUCUGGGCGGAGGAAGAUGCACCGCGCAACGAUAGACAGUCGGCCCUCGCCAGCGAUGAACGCUGCUUGUGGGAAGGCAGCCUUCUCCGGACUCUUUUUUGCCUCGUGUGAUACUCUACCCGUGUGCGUCUCUGCGCCUCGUGGCCCUUUCUUGAUGGCUUCGUUUGUUGUAUAGCUGAGGUGGUUGACCUUCCCGUAUCGGGGAAUGACUGGUGUGGUGCAGCACACGUGAAAAAAAAAUAGACGAUGCACCUAACGUGCUACACGUGACCCGCUCCCCAACCAAGACGAAUGCCGGCAGCCGAGGGCUUUUGGACGCGCCUCGUCGUUUUGUUGUUUCGCAUUCUAGUGGCCCCACUCACGGAUUGAUGUGGGGGCUCGAUCAGCAGCAACGUGCACACGCACAUGCCAUGCGGGGGCGCUUGGUACCCCAUCCGUUGAGUCUCUUGACAUGCAACGAAUGCACAUUGACCCAAGUAACGAGACGGGGAAGCGUGCCUGAGUACCGUGCGAUAGCUCAUCGAUGCUGCAGAUCUUCUUGGUGUUUCAUCUCACUUCGUCUCCGUUCUACUGUUUAUCUCCCAG
rnacentral:misc_RNA from 1 species